rnacentral:misc_RNA from 1 species
UCCGAUUUGUCACCGGCAGUCUCGCAUGAGUCCCCAACUAAAUGAUGGCAACAUGCGACAAGGGUUGCGCUCGUUGCGGGACUUAACCCAACAUCUCACGACACGAGCUGACGACAACCAUGCACCACCUGUGUGGGGCCCCGAAGGACACCGUAUCUCUACGGCUUUUCCCCACAUGUCAAGCCCAGGUAAGGUUCUUCGCGUCGCCUCGAAUUAAGGCACAUGCUCCGCCGCUUGUGCGGGCCCCCGUCAAUUCCUUUGAGUUUUAGCCUUGCGGCCGUACUCCCCAGGCGGGGUGCUUAAUGCGUUAGCUUCGGCACGGACGGAGUCGACACCGCCCACACCUAGCACCCAUCGUUUACGGCGUGGACUAC